CUUCUUCUCUUUCUUCUGUUCUUCAUGUCUUUCUCCCUGUUGAACUCAAAUCCAGUGAAUAGCUUUUUUUUGGUGAGGGAUUCAUGUAAAUCUUGAGAUCCAGAUAAAUCGAGAAGAGGGUGAUCAAUCUGGAAGCUAAUUGAGCUCCGAAAGAAGAAGAAAUCACAAGAAAUGGAAAUUAGGGUUUCCGCUAGAAUUGAAUAAGUUGUAUAUUUGGAAGAGGGGUUCGAUUUAUAAAAUGCAAACGGAGAUUAGAGAUGGGUAUUGUUUUUGAGAGUAAGGGAGGAGAUUUAGCUCCUGAUUCUCUACUCACACGGAAGAAUUAGUGAAUUAGGGUUUUAUGAGAACCAGUGAUAGUGAAAGAACUGAGUUUCCAAGAUAAAAGUUACUGAUAAUUAAAUCUGGGUCUGUUUUUCGUUUCGAUGUUGUUCUGUAGUAGGGCAUUUCUGGGUUCGAUUCAAAUCAGUGGAAGAGCCAUGGGUUCGAUUCAAGUUGAUACACAUUGAAUCACCACCAAGCUUGCGAAGAUUCAAGAGGGGGAAAUUUGUGGUAUUAGUAGUUAAUGUCCUUUAUUCUAGAGUGAAAAAAAUGGGGCUACUGUUGGAAAGAAAUCGAUCUUUGAGAGUGUGCUCAGGAUGCAUUGUACAUAUUGUGCUCAGUAUCUUCCUAACACUCUCCUACAAUCUUUGGUGGUGGUGGUGGUUGUGGACCUGUGGUGGAUGAAACUUUGAGAAAGGAAAGAGAAAAAGCAGUCGUGGACUUCUUUGUAAGUGACUGUUAUUAACUCCUUAGAUUCUUUGACAUGAUUCCUUCGCUGAUGGAUCGUCUGCAGCUUUGCGGACUUCGCUGUCAUCCACUGUAUGAAUUGGAACUACUUCAGGAUCAGCAUCUGAGGAUGUUUUCUUUUCUUUUUAUUUUCCUUGAGUCUUCUCUGACAUCUUGUCAGUGGGAGUCUUGAGAUAAUCGAAUAGCUCUUUCUGUGUAGUAGCCAUAUCGGUUUGAUUCUGUGCAAGGGUCUCUUGCACUUUGAUGAGAUCAGCAAUGGUAGGUGGUGGAUUUCCUCUGACUUCCUCGGGGUGUCGGCCGAACAAAGGAUGACCCUCCGCG